rnacentral:rRNA from 1 species
CGUAACAAGGUCUCCGUAGGUGAACCUGCGGAGGGAUCAUUACACAAAUAUGAAGGCGGGCUGGAACCUCUCGGGGUUACAGCCUUGCUGAAUUAUUCACCCUUGUCUUUUGCGUACUUCUUGUUUCCUUGGUGGGUUCGCCCACCACUAGGACAAACAUAAACCUUUUGUAAUUGCAAUCAGCGUCAGUAAUAAAUUAAUAAUUACAACUUUCAACAACGGAUCUCUUGGUUCUGGCAUCGAUGAAGAACGCAGCGAAAUGCGAUAAGUAGUGUGAAUUGCAGAAUUCAGUGAAUCAUCGAAUCUUUGAACGCACAUUGCGCCCUUUGGUAUUCCAAAGGGCAUGCCUGUUCGAGCGUCAUUUGUACCCUCAAGCUUUGCUUGGUGUUGGGCGUCUUGUCUCUAGCUUUGCUGGAGACUCGCCUUAAAGUAAUUGGCAGCCGGCCUACUGGUUUCGGAGCGCAGCACAAGUCGCACUCUCUAUCAGCAAAGGUCUAGCAUCCAUUAAGCCUUUUUUUCAACUUUUGACCUCGGAUCAGGUAGGGAUACCCGCUGAACUUAAGCAUAUCA